CUUCUGAUUGGCUGACGUUUUUUUGUUAUGAGCCCAUAGACAUAAUUUAGUCAGGUGACUGUGACGUCAUCAAUGUUUUUCAUGGUUUUCUACGGUUUAAAAUGAAAUUUAGAAUUAAAUUAUAAGAAAUGACUGUAAUAUUCUUUCUGUCUAUUCGAAAUAACAUAAAAAAUGUGGUGCACACUGUAAAAUAACCCGCUACGCGCGUUAUUCAGUGUGCACCAAAUGUUUCAUGUUAUUUCUUCAUAGACAGAAAAAAUAUUACAGUCAUUCCUUAAGUAUUAUAUAGUGUGAAAUAA
rnacentral:lncRNA from 1 species